AAAACGACUCUCGGCAACGGAUAUCUAGGCUCUUGCAUCGAUGAAGAACGUAGCGAAAUGCGAUACUUGGUGUGAAUUGCAGAAUCCCGUGAACCAUCGAGUCUUUGAACGCAAGUUGCGCCCGAAGCCUUCUGGCCGAGGGCACGUCUGCCUGGGUGUCACACAUCGUCGCCCCCAAGCCCAACACCUCACUC
rnacentral:rRNA from 1 species